UACGUAGGGGGCAAGCGUUGGUCCCGGAAUCAUUGGGCGGUAACGAGCGUGUAGGCGGCCUGGUAAGUCCGCUAUGAAAGUCCAGGGCUCAACCCUGGAAUGCCGGUGGAAACUGUCAGGCUCGAGUCCGGAAGAGGCGAGUGGAAUUCCUGGUGUAGCGGUGAAAUGCGCAGAUAUCAGGAGGAACACCGGUGGCGAAGGCGGGUCUCUGGGCCGGAUACUGACGCUGAGGAGCGAAGCGUGGGGAGCAAACAGG
rnacentral:rRNA from 1 species